AAAUUAAUGAGCUUUGUUAACAGAAUUCUGACCUGGAGCACAAGAAAAGCUGAAAGAUGGAGUUGAAGACAGAAAAAGCCAUUUCUACAAUGAAAAAAACGUUACGCACAUUUCAUGGCAGUCUUGCCCGGAUCAAUAUGGCGAACACGUUGACCUAACACAGCAACAGGUCAAAGAGGCCAAAGUGGCGUCUAUGUAUGUCUAUGACUUCACUUAGCACCAAGGUGGAGCUACUUUUAGGCCACAACUGCCUUUGUGUAGUAAUGUGUCUCAUCUGCAUAUUCAGCAGAAGGAAUUGAUAAGCAGUGUGCAAUGCAAAUAUCUGUGGCCUCUUUUUCACUCUGCAAAAAAAAUGUCAUCUUAGCAAGUGAAUUUAAAGACGGUGGUAUCUUUAUCUACUAUGUCUUCCAGGGAACCCCAAGCGGGACCUCCCAAUUGUGUUAGAGUCUCUUAAAGAGCCUACUUAUAUUGGUUUGUAGUGGGUGUCUUUGAAAACUGCCUUCCUGCUAGCAAGCAUCCCACUUCACUCCACAAUUGGGAAGUUGCAUGCUCUGGCAAUAAACAAGCCUUAUAUGCAGCAGUGACCAGAUGAGUCUGGAGUUACCUCAUGGUUAAAUCCAGGUUUUCUGCCCAAUAUCAUAUCACAUGAUAACUGUGUGAAUCAGUCUAUUGACCAUGCAGCCUUCUGUACCCGGUAAUUUCUUUGUGGUAUUAUUUGGACCAGACAGCAGCCAUUUGAUUCACAGACCAGCUGUUUAUUUGGGGAUAAGACAUGGGAUGCUGCCUUGGAGAAACAUAGGUUAGCCAACUGGGUGGUGGAAGUAAUCACCUUAGCCCACAAAUGACCUGUUUGACAUAUCACUGGUUUUCCGGGAAAGUUUUCUUUACAUUAUGGUAACAUCUCUGAUAAAAUUUGAACCUCUCAUGAACGCUCUCGUGAACCCAGCAGUAUCCUGGGAUGGUUCAGAGAAUAUUCUCCUCUCCUGACCUGUUACUAUACUGAUAUAAACCUGGUUAGUUGCCAUAUGGUUCCCGUUACAUUUGUAUCGAAUAAAUUUAUUUUCUUUCUUUUUUUAAACUAACAAAAAACACAAACUUAAGAGACGUGUUGCCUGGUGUUGAGCCAAUUUGCUUUGUUAAAUUUGCUUUGUUGAGAUGCUGUGCAAAAAGCAAGGCAAAGAUACAUGAAAUUGGAAACAUCACCUAUCAUAUGUAAGCAGAAACUGUGGCAUUGGACACUGACCAUGUCAGGCAUCUGAGCUCAUUUUUCCUGUUAGCAGUCUAACAAGCCUGAAGAUAUACUCCUUCAACUGUGAACCAACUGUAGCUCCAAUCUGCACCUUAAUACCUGGACAUUGUUCAUGAGCUCAAGAAAAUAAAGAAAUAAGUAUAGGUGAAAUCUAUGAAAAAGAAAAACUGAGAUUAAAUUGUCAGUGUACCAUAUAGUGGCUCUGUAUGGAAAGGCCAUUGCCAUUGCUG
ensembl:lncRNA